rfam:Brevibacillus parabrevis strain CN1 contig_33, whole genome shotgun sequence.
AAGAUCCUGCGAUGUACGUAAGGCCGUAAAUGUUUCUAACCUUAUACGUGUUUUUCGGGAGACGGAAAUUUGUGAUGGAUGUCAGGCCCACCUCCCUUUUGGGGAUGCAUGGGAAGGCUGAAGGGCAGAAGGGUCACCCACCUGUGUGAGCGCAGGUUAUAGAAACAUGAGGUCAACGGCAAAGCGGGGACUUG